rnacentral:rRNA from 1 species
CAGCAGCCGCGGGAAUACGGAGGGUGCGAGCGUUAAUCGGAAUUACUGGGCGUAAAGAGUGCGUAGGUGGUUAAUUAAGUUAUCUGUGAAAUUCCUAGGCUUAACCUGGGCAGGUCAGAUAAUACUGGUUAACUCGAGUAUGGGAGAGGGUAGUGGAAUUUCCGGUGUAGCGGUGAAAUGCGUAGAGAUCGGAAGGAACACCAGUGGCGAAGGCGGCUACCUGGCCUAAUACUGACACUGAGGCACGAAAGCGUGGGGAGCAAACAGGAUUAGAUACCCCUGUAGUCCCUGUCUCUUAUAC